rnacentral:rRNA from 1 species
GGGGGGGGGGGGGGGGGGGGGGAGGGCGGGCGGGGGGAGGGGGGGAAGGGAGGUUGCGCCUGGAGUCAGCGGCGGACGGGUGAGUCAGUCCUAGGAAGCUGCCUGGUAGUGGGGGAUAACGUACGGCCAAGUGCGCUGAUACCGCCUACGUCCGGCGUGAGAAAGAGGGGUAUCUCCGGAGCUCACGCUAUCAGAUGAGCCUAGGUCGGAUUAGCUAGUGGGUGUGGUAAAUGCCUACCAAGUCGACGAUCCGUAACUGGUCUGAGAGGAUGAUCAGUCACACUGGAACUGAGACACGGUCCAGACUCCUACGGGAGGCAGCAGUGGGGAAUAUUGGACAAUGGGCGAAAGCCUGAUCCAGCCAUGCCGCGUGUGUGAAGAAGGUCUUCGGAUUGUAAAGCACUUUAAGUUGGGAGGAAGGGCAGUAAGUUAAUACCUUGCUGUUUUGACGUUACCAACAGAAUAAGCACCGGCUAACUUCGUG